UUUCCGUUGGUGAACCUGCGGAAGGAUCAUUACAGAGUUCAUGCCCUUCGGGGUAGACCUCCCACCCUGUUUAAUUACUAUUGUUGCUUUGGCAGGCUGCCCUCACCAUGGGGCGUCCGGGCUCCGCCCGCGUCUUGCCUGCCAGAAGACCCCUAAUUCUGUGUUCUGUGUCGUCUGAGUACUAUAUAAUAAGUUAAAACUUUCAACAACGGAUCUCUUGGUUCUG
rnacentral:misc_RNA from 1 species